CAAGGAGGGUGGCAUCAUCAAGGUGAAGCUUGUCUGACACCAGGCCUGGUGGGGCUGACUCAUCUGAAGAUUCUCUUCGCCCCCAGGCUGCAGUGCAGAAGCCAGCUCGGCGGGCUGAGUGUGCCCAGAUGUUCCUGACUUCGGGAAGAGGGUGGCAGCCCGACCCAGAAAGCAGUAUAGGUCCACUGCUUCUAUUGUAGACAUCAACACCUCCUCCGUAUGAGAACAGCACAGGAUGGGAAGCUGGAGAAAAUCCUAAAGUCCAUGGCUGGAGAAGGAAAAUCAAGAUUCGAACAUGGACGUCAGAGCCUCCCUCUCUGUGGCCUGUGGGGGCCUUCUGUCCUUCUGUGUAGGCCUUACUGACUAUUGUAAACUAUGAUACAUGCUGUCUUAAGAUGCCAAGUGGGAGUAGGAGAGAUGACUCAGAGGUUAAGAACACCGGCUGCUCUUCCAGAGGAUCCAGGUUUAGUUCCCAGCACCCACAUGGUGGCUCACACAUCUGUAAUUACAGUUCUGAGAAAAUCCAAUACCCUCUUCUGGCCUCCACAGGUACAAGGUACACAUGUAGUACAUAGACAUACAUGUAGCAAAAUACCCAAACACACAAAAAUAUAAAAAACUUAUAAGUUGGAAAAUAGAGUUCAGGGAGGAAAAAGUAUUUAAGUCAUGCAUUUUUUUCCCCAGAUGAACUCUUGUGUCCAGAUUUGAUUUUUCUAUACUUUUGGGAUUCCUGGACAUAGAUAGAGGCUGGGUCAGACCAGGGCUGCAUUGAGGAGUGGGCGGGUGGCAAAAUGGCUUGGGGUCCUGCCAGUCCACUCCACAGAGGAUAACAUCCUUCAUAGGAGGCUAGCCGGUGUUCCUGGCUUCUGGCAAAGGGUCAUGAUCUAAGGCAGAGUUUCUGGGUUCCCUGUUGACCUCCACACCUUGCUUAGGAGGGUGGUAGUUCCAGAGAGCCUCUCAUGCCUUUGGCUUGCUCUGUGCUUCCUGAGGCAUCGCUGACUCUAAGAAUAUGCCUGGCAAUCAGGCUCCCCCAAACUCAGCAGGUGUGCCGUUUAACAUGGAGGACCUGCUAAGGCCCGGCAAAGGUGUGUGUGUGUGUGUGUGUGUGUGUGUGUGUGUGUGUGUGUGUGUGUGUGUUUCUUCCUGAGUCCCUCUGUUUUGAGAGCAACUUUGUUCUUUCCAUAAUGUCAGUUGCCUUGCAUGUUUUUGAUUCCAGGUCAUAUAAUUCUAUCCCCUGAGCAUAACGAACAGCAAUUUCUGGUACCAUGGUUGCCAUGGCAACAUCAUCCCAAAUUUCCUCCUGGGGGGCUGGAGAGGCCUGCGAUGAGGGUGGGGGCCGGCUUGGAUGGGGCUGGAGUCCAUUAGGCUUAGGACAUUGGGAUUAUAUUAUCCAGAUGCCCUCAAGGAAGCCCUGAGGCUCAGCCUAGUGGUUGAAAUGUCACCAGUAACACUCAGUUUUCUGUCCCUGUGCCUAUCUAUGCUCCCAUAUGAAGAGAGGCAGCAUCCAGGGUUCAUUAAAAAAAAAAACUCAAAGAUAUGAGGCAGAGCUGAAUCCUGUGCAGACUGAGCCACCUGACAGGCGAGGGAUGGCUGCAGAGAAAUUGUGUCAGGCUCUUUUGAAGUCCAGGCAGAGAACAGGAGAGCAGCGGAGGCUGCAAGUGGUGGGUGACAGGAGCAGGCUGGUCCCCAGCAAACAGCACAGAGAAGUACCUGGUGAGGAGCUGGGCCAGAAUGAGCAUCAAGGGAGGGAAGGGCUAAGAGUCCUGUGCUUCCCGGCAGGGCCAGGCUCAGGACCUGCCCCAGGCAUCUCGGAAGAGCCCUGUGCUGACAAGGGUCUCACCUGUUGCCACGAAGGACACCCUUCAGCUGCUCUUGGCUGAGAAAACAAAGCUGGGACAGGAAGUGUCCUGAGUCCAUGAUCCUAGGGGAGGCUUCCUCAUUUGCCUCUCUUUAGAGAGGGCUCUGUGAAUCAGUAACAGCUUCUCUCUCUCUCUCUUUCUUCUUUGCAUUUUUUGUCUUUGUCUCUUCAUACUCCAACCCCUUCCUUCCCACCCACAACAUCUGUCCCCCUUUCUCCUCCAUCCCUUUAUUUCCCCUCCUCUCUUUCCACCCUUCCUGUGUCCUCUCUCUCUCCUCUCCUUUCUCUCGCCCCCAUCAGCAGUUCUCCAUGUCACGUGCCGCAAAGCCAAUCUUAAUUAAAAUUAAUUAAUUAGUUCAAAAGCCCACAGGGCUCCUUCUGCCUCCCAGCCACCAUCUGGGCCUGCCUCCAUUUGCCCGUAAUCUAAACAUCAACCCAAAGGAAAAUUACAGGGAAAGAAAAAAAAUCCAUUGCUCAAAAUACCCAGAGCUAAGCAGACAUGCAUUUAGGCCAACACUUCCCACACUGGCUACUAUUCUUCAAGUCCUGGAGUUGGGGCAGGCAGUUGAGCCAAGCUGUAGGAAGUAUAGACACUGGAGCCUGCCCACUUGGGUUCAUAUCUUUGCUUUGUAGUACAUUGAAUGUGUGACUCUGGGCAAGUCCUUUGUUGUUCUGUACUUUAGUUUUCCUCUCUGCAAAAUGGGAACAGUGAUAGUACCUUCUUCCUAGGAGAGUACAGUGCCUGGCCCUUAAGGGAAAUUCACUACAUGUUAUUUAUUCCUGUAAUUGUUCCAUGGGAGGAAGAUUGGGAACACUGAAUCCUUCCUGCUCUUGUCUCAGAAAUAAUAAUCCCAUAGAUCCCCAGACUUAUUUUGCCUGCAGUUCCCCUUCUUUCUUUGCAUUCAUGAAACACCUGUCUUGGGGCGCUCCUGUUGUCGAGGUCACAGUUUGAGAAGUACUCGUUUGAGAUGACUCAUUUGUUCAAGAUCCUGAUGAGUGGAGUAGACGGAAAAAGUGGUUUUCGUCACUUGAGAGAUCUGGAACCAAAUACGCUGCAUGCCAGCUUUUCUCACCACUGACCACAGGGCCCAGAAAUGUCACGGACAGGCCCAGAGAAGGGAAUGACGUUCCCAAGACUACACUGUCACCUAGAGGGAGACUCAAGAGUGUUUUGUAGGCUUUCCAGGCCAAGGCUAGCCCACCUUCUCAUUCUUUUCUCCUAUGUUAUCAAAUAAACACAACUCCCCCCCCCCUCGAGACUUGGGCUCAAGCAAUCACAUAGCUCAUAUCUGCGUUUCUGCACAUCAGAGAGGAAUGUGAGAAGCCCCCACAUCUUCCUGACUAUUGCUUUACUUUAAAGGAUUUAACUAAUCUUUUUUUUUUCUUUCUGAGACUUGGGUCUCAUGUAACCCAGGCUGGCCUUCAAUGUACUGUACAGCUGAGGGUGACUUUCCUGAUUCUCCUGUCUCUACCUCUCCAGUACUGGAAUUACCGGUGUGUGCCACCAUGUCCAGUUUAUGUGGUUCUGGGCAUCAGAUCUGGGACCUCUUGUAUGUGGUAGGCAAGCACUGUACCAGCUGAUCUAUUUGCCCAAUCCUAUUUUUAUUUUUUUUAAAGAGCCCCGUGCAUUGCCAGAGUGACUGUUUGCCCCUAGAGCCAAGGCUUCCUCUCUGUCCAUGGUGCUGAAACGCUAUGCUUCUCUGGGCAGUGGUCUCCAACUCCAGCUCUGAUUGGAACAGCUGUUACGAAUACUUAGGGGUGGGUGGGCCUUGCGGGGGGGGGGGGCAUCCAACUUAAUACUAUGCCUCCCAGACUUCACAUCUCACCCCAUGAGCCAGAAUCCUCUGGGUUCAGUGCCUGUCUCUGGAUGCUGAAAAAUCUUUUGGGGGCAGUGGUUUAGAACCCCACUAAUCAAUAUCAGGUCAAUAUCAGAUGCCAUUUUUGAUCACUAUGAACUUUUUGAGGCAUUUAUACCUUCCAACUCUAUUUCACCUCUCCUGUGGAUCACUGUUUGCUAGUGUUAUUUAUUUCAUAUAAAUGACUAAAAGCUCAGAUUUACAGUCUGUUCCCUUAGUUUUACAGUAGCAGCAACUUAUUCAUACGAUGGGAGCUCCUGGUCCUGUGAGAGUGGUCCUUCGAGGUCCCCAGAAGCUAAGUGAGGCAGUUCCUGCUCUACCCAUCUCCUCGGCCUCCAGGCUUAGUGGUUGGGAGCUGAAAUGUCCUAGUUUUUCUCAGGUGCUCCCUCUCCUCACAGUGCACUGCCCCACAAUGGCACAAGAAGGUGCUAGGUUAGUAUUGACCACAGACUCUUCUUUUCCAGGGGAUACUGAGGGAAUUCCUCUUUUGUGGAGAAAGAGCUGUGCCGAGCUAUCUACUAAGAAGGAUACCACAGGGUGGGGCCAGCAAGCUUCAAUAGCUUGGGAGGAAUCUUCCGUCUCUAAUGCUGUGGAAAACAGUGGAUUCCACCCUUGGGUCCUGUCUCAUUUUCUUAUCUGACAUCCCAGAGCAGGUACCUCUGAGGUCAUGAGGAAGUACAGAGAUGUGGUUAUAGGUACAAGCUUUGGAAUCAGACCUAGGUUCAAAUCCUGGUUCUGUCUCUUGCUAAUCCUGUGCGGUGGGCUGAAUGAGAAUGGUCCCCUAUAGUUUACUAUUUGAAUACCUUGUCUCUAGUUGGUGGAACUGUUUGGGGGAAGGGUUAGGAGGUGUGGCCUUUUUGGAGGAGGUGUGCUACUGGGUGUGGGCUUUGAAGUUUUAAAAGCCCACAUCAGGCCCAGUCUUUCUCUUCCUGACUCCAACUUUUGGAUCAGAUGUAAGCUCUCAGCUACUGCUCCAGCACCAUGCCUGCCUGCCUGCUGUCAUGCUCCCACUGCGAUAGACAUGGACCCAGCCUCUGAAAUUGUAAACAAACUCCUAAAUUAAAUGCUUUCUUUUAUAA